rnacentral:rRNA from 1 species
CUUAGUGGCGAUAGCGCGGAGGGUACACCUGUUCCCAUACCGAACACAGCAGUUAAGCUCCGUAGCGCCGACAAUACUUGGCGGGCGACCGCCCGGGAACAUAGGACGCUGCUAAGA